GACGAACGCUGGCGGCGUGCUUAACACAUGCAAGUCGAACGGAAACGCACUGCUUUCGUGCGCUGCUCGAGUGGCGAACGCGUACGUAACACGUGAAUAACCUGCUCUUUAUUUUGGUAUGACUUCACGAAACUGGACCUAAUCCCGUAUCGCAUCCCAUGUUCCAUGGUAGGCGGUGGAACGUCUCGGCGGUCGGGGAUGGAUUCGCGGCUUAUCAGCUAGUUGGUGGGGUAGUGGCUUACCAAGGCUUUGACCGGUAGCCGGCCUGGGAGGGUGACCGGCGACAUUGGGACUGAGAUACGGACCAGAGGCGUACGGGAGGCAGCAGGGGGGAGUAUUGCACAAUGGGCGGAAGCCUGAUGCAGCAGCGCCGCGUGCGGAAUGACGGCCUUCGGGUUGUAAACCGCUUUCGCCUGUGACGAAGCGUGAGUGACGGUAAUGGGUAAAGAAGCACCGGCUAACUACGUG
rnacentral:rRNA from 1 species